rnacentral:rRNA from 1 species
UCAGAUUGAACGCUGGCGGCAGGCCUAACACAUGCAAGUCGAGCGGUAGCACAGAGAGCUUGCUCUCGGGUGACGAGCGGCGGACGGGUGAGUAAUGUCUGGGAAACUGCCUGAUGGAGGGGGAUAACUACUGGAAACGGUAGCUAAUACCGCAUAACGUCGCAAGACCAAAGUGGGGGACCUUCGGGCCUCAUGCCAUCAGAUGUGCCCAGAUGGGAUUAGCUAGUAGGUGGGGUAACGGCUCACCUAGGCGACGAUCCCUAGCUGGUCUGAGAGGAUGACCAGCCACACUGGAACUGAGACACGGUCCAGACUCCUACGGGAGGCAGCAGUGGGGAAUAUUGCACAAUGGGCGCAAGCCUGAUGCAGCCAUGCCGCGUGUGUGAAGAAGGCCUUCGGGUUGUAAAGCACUUUCAGCGGGGAGGAAGGCGAUAAGGUUAAUAACCUUGUCGAUUGACGUUACCCGCAGAAGAAGCACCGGCUAACUCCGUGCCAGCAGCCGCGGUAAUACGGAGGGUGCAAGCGUUAAUCGGAAUUACUGGGCGUAAAGCGCACGCAGGCGGUCUGUCAAGUCGGAUGUGAAAUCCCCGGGCUCAACCUGGGAACUGCAUUCGAAACUGGCAGGCUAGAGUCUUGUAGAGGGGGGUAGAAUUCCAGGUGUAGCGGUGAAAUGCGUAGAGAUCUGGAGGAAUACCGGUGGCGAAGGCGGCCCCCUGGACAAAGACUGACGCUCAGGUGCGAAAGCGUGGGGAGCAAACAGGAUUAGAUACCCUGGUAGUCCACGCCGUAAACGAUGUCGAUUUGGAGGUUGUGCCCUUGAGGCGUGGCUUCCGGAGCUAACGCGUUAAAUCGACCGCCUGGGGAGUACGGCCGCAAGGUUAAAACUCAAAUGAAUUGACGGGGGCCCGCACAAGCGGUGGAGCAUGUGGUUUAAUUCGAUGCAACGCGAAGAACCUUACCUGGUCUUGACAUCCACAGAACUUUCCAGAGAUGGAUUGGUGCCUUCGGGAACUGUGAGACAGGUGCUGCAUGGCUGUCGUCAGCUCGUGUUGUGAAAUGUUGGGUUAAGUCCCGCAACGAGCGCAACCCUUAUCCUUUGUUGCCAGCGGUUAGGCCGGGAACUCAAAGGAGACUGCCAGUGAUAAACUGGAGGAAGGUGGGGAUGACGUCAAGUCAUCAUGGCCCUUACGACCAGGGCUACACACGUGCUACAAUGGCAUAUACAAAGAGAAGCGACCUCGCGAGAGCAAGCGGACCUCAUAAAGUAUGUCGUAGUCCGGAUUGGAGUCUGCAACUCGACUCCAUGAAGUCGGAAUCGCUAGUAAUCGUAGAUCAGAAUGCUACGGUGAAUACGUUCCCGGGCCUUGUACACACCGCCCGUCACACCAGGGGAGUGGGUUGCAAAAGAAGUAGGUAGCUUAACCUUCGGGAGGGCGCUUACCACUUUGUGAUCAGACU